UACGAAAGGUCCAAGCGUUACUCGGAAUUACUGGGCGUAAAGCGCGCGUAGGCGGCUUUGUAUGUCGAUUGUGAAAGCCCCGGGCUCAACCUGGGAACUGCAGUCGAAACUGCAAAGCUUGAAUGUUGGAGAGGUUGGGGGAAUACCUAGUGGAGAAGUGAAAUUCGUAGAGAUUAGGUGGAACACCAGAGGCGAAGGCGCCUGACUGGCCAAACAUUGACGCUGAGGCGCGAAAGCUAGGGGAGCAAACGGG
rnacentral:rRNA from 1 species